GUGUGUUGUCUGUAGGUUAAAAAGUUCUGGAUAUGGAGGAGUGAAAGCUGAACCUGGGUCUGCCCCAAAAGUCUUAUCUCCCUGAGCCGGAGCCAGGCCAGACGUAUUGACUGAUGUUCCAGGCGUAAUGAAAACAUCCCCUGCAAAUUGAAUCUGAUUGGAUAUCAGCUAUCAGCCGUCGUUCAACAACAGCAGAGCAAAUGAGCUUCAGGUCCUGGCUGGUUGCCUUGGAAACGAGCAUACGACUAUUCUGAGAGCCAAGGUGGUGAGAGAGAGAGAGGGAGAGGAAGCCAGUGUAGUAAAGGGAGCUGCUGGUCUGGAAGGCGGCAUCGCAGGGCAGGCGGGCGGCGCGGUCGAGUCGACCUUCUGCGGUGACUGGGUGGGAGGGCAGGAGGACACCCUGCGCCCCGGCCCAGGCCUGCCGAGAGGCCAUCUGGACGGGGGAAACACACGCAGAGUACCUGGCCAGACCUGGAGCUCGACACUGACUCACACAAUCACGCACUCACACGCACUUAUACUCCGACACAUGUAUAUACACGUACAGCACAUGUAGCGCGGUCAGGAACAGACACAUGGUUAGGCAAACGCUGAUGCGUACGCACAUGCACACACGCAGUCAAACAGGGAUGUAUAUUUGAAAGGUGCGUAUGUGACACAUAAAAUGAUCUUUGUACAUUAUGUGUAUAAUCAAGACUACAUCAGUAGACUAUAUCCAGCCUGAAACUCCCACUCAAACCCACACAUGCCUUCCACACAGCACUCGUCAGUCUACGGUGAUGUUAACGUUAAGCCCCUCUGAUUCUGCCAGCCGAUGAGUGUUUUACAUUUGGUUAAAACAGAUUCUGCCUGUGCUGCUUUGGAGAGUGCUACAUUUGGUUAAAAGCCAUUAUUAUGGUAAUGUGAGGGUGCUUGAGAUAAUGGCAAGAUGAGAGCAGCUCGACUGCCUCUGACAUAACAACCCUACUCUAUCUAUCUCUUCAGCUUCUUCUCGCUCGCUCACUCUCUAUACUGUAUUUUGCCUGCCCUCCCUUCUCUAUACCUCACAGUUUCUCUCCCU